CGGGUGGGUAAUGUAUAGGAACUUGCCUAGUAGUGGGGGAUAACGUGUGGAAACGCACGCUAAUACCGCAUACGCUCUACGGAGGAAAGCGGGGGAUCUUCGGACCUCGUGCUACUAGAUGGGCCUAUAUCAGAUUAGCUAGUUGGUAAGGUAAUGGCUUACCAAGGCGACGAUCUGUAGCUGGUUUGAGAGAAUGAUCAGCCACACUGGGACUGAGACACGGCCCAG
rnacentral:rRNA from 1 species